rnacentral:rRNA from 1 species
GGCGUUGCGCUAACUCGCAAGAGAGGCAGGCGACCACGGUGGUUAGCGACUGGGUG